rnacentral:lncRNA from 1 species
CUUCCGUCCAGCAAUGGACCCAGGUUUCAGGGCCAGCUGGGUCACUCUCAGCGAUGAGGUCCGUCCCACGUACACAUAUUGAACCUGAGCACAGGGAGCAAGCAGGGUUUGAAUUCGGGGGAAAAACAUGGAGUCGAGACAAGAGGGGUGGGGUGUUUGGUACCCACAUACAAAACACUGGAAUGGAGACAUUGAAGCUGCUCCUGGAAGUCACCGAGAUGCCGCCACCACUCAGGGCCCCACUGUCCAGGGCACAGACAGGAGACCUGUUUUCUAACACCAAUGCCGAGGUUCACUGGUUACUUCUAGGACUCUCAGCAAGACAUAUUCUCUGGGCCUCCGUCCCUUAUCUGUAAACAACAACAAAAAAAUGAUACAUUUAUGUGGCAAACCCAGUAACGCUCAAUAAACGUUCAACCACUGAAUGAA